UAAAACGUAGGUACCGAGCGUUAUCCGGAUUUACUGGGCGUAAAGCGCGUUCAGGCGGUCGAACAAGUCGGGCAUGAAAUCCUUCGGCUCAACCGGGGGAGGCUGUCCGAUACUGUCCGACUGGAGGGCAGUAGAGGGUGGUGGAAUUCCGGGUGUAGUGGUGAAAUGCGUAGAGAUCCGGAGGAACACCAGUGGCGAAAGCGGCCACCUGGACUGUACCUGACGCUGACACGCGAAAGCUAGGGGAGCGAACGGGAUUAGAAACCCCGGUAGUCCUAGCUAUAAACGAUGUUGACUAGGUGUCGGUGGUCUAAACCCCGCCGGUGCCGCAGCUAACGCACUAAGUCAACCGCCUGGGGACUACGGCCGCAAGGUUA
rnacentral:rRNA from 1 species